rnacentral:misc_RNA from 1 species
CAAAUUUCUUUCAUUGCUCUUUUCGCAUUGCGCGAUCUGAGCAAAUGAAGAAACUAAAUGUGCACCUGUACUUGUACGUUGGCGGCUGUUCAGUGCUUUGUGCUGAACUUGCAUUAAAUUGCAAAGGCCGUCAAUAGUGUUUUUCACAAAAACGCUUUAAGAUUUUUCCAGCAACUUUUAUUUUUUAUUGUUUAUUACUUUUUCUCUUGAAAACCAAGAA